UACGUAGGGUCCGAGCGUUGUCCGGAAUUACUGGGCGUAAAGAGCUCGUAGGUGGUUUGUCGCGUUGUCCGUGAAAACUCACAGCUCAACUGUGGGCGUGCGGGCGAUACGGGCAGACUGGAGUACUGCAGGGGAGACUGGAAUUCCUGGUGUAGCGGUGAAAUGCGCAGAUAUCAGGAGGAACACCGGUGGCGAAGGCGGGUCUCUGGGCCGAUACUGACGCUGAGGAGCGAAAGCGUGGGGAGCGAACAGG
rnacentral:rRNA from 1 species